rnacentral:rRNA from 1 species
CGAUGAUAGCUUGCUAUCAGGCGUCGAGCGGCGGACGGGUGAGUAAUACUUAGGAAUCUACCUAGUAGUGGGGGAUAGCUCGGGGAAACUCGAAUUAAUACCGCAUACGACCUACGGGAGAAAGGGGGCAACUUGUUGCUCUCGCUAUUAGAUGAGCCUAAGUCGGAUUAGCUAGAUGGUGGGGUAAAGGCCUACCAUGGCGACGAUCUGUAGCUGGUCUGAGAGGAUGAUCAGCCACACCGGGACUGAGACACGGCCCGGACUCCUACGGGAGGCAGCAGUGGGGAAUAUUGGACAAUGGGGGCAACCCUGAUCCAGCCAUGCCGCGUGUGUGAAGAAGGCCUUUUGGUUGUAAAGCACUUUAAGCAGUGAAGAAGACUCCGUGGUUAAUACCCACGGACGAUGACAUUAGCUGCAGAAUAAGCACCGGCUAACUCUGUGCCAGCAGCCGCGGUAAUACAGAGGGUGCAAGCGUUAAUCGGAAUUACUGGGCGUAAAGCGAGCGUAGGUGGCUUGAUAAGUCAGAUGUGAAAUCCCCGGGCUUAACCUGGGAACUGCAUCUGAUACUGUUAGGCUAGAAUAGGUGAGAGGAAGGUAGAAUUCCAGGUGUAGCGGUGAAAUGCGUAGAGAUCUGGAGGAAUACCGAUGGCGAAGGCAGCCUUCUGGCAUCAUAUUGACACUGAGGUUCGAAAGCGUGGGUAGCAAACAGGAUUAGAUACCCUGGUAGUCCACGCCGUAAACGAUGUCUACUAGUCGUUGGGUCCCUUGAGGACUUAGUGACGCAGCUAACGCAAUAAGUAGACCGCCUGGGGAGUACGGACGCAAGGUUAAGACUCAAAUGAAUUGACGGGGGCCCGCACAACGGUGGAGCAUGUGGUUUAUUCGAUGCAACGCUGAAGAACCUUACCUGGUCUUGACAUAUCUAGAAUCCUGCA